rnacentral:rRNA from 1 species
UACGGGGGGGGCAAGCGUUGUUCGGAAUUACUGGGCGUAAAGGGCUCGUAGGCGGCCAACUAAGUCGGACGUGAAAUCCCCAGGCUCAACCUGGGAACUGCGUCUGAUACUGGAUGGCUUGAAUCCGGGAGAGGGAUGCAGAAUUCCAGGUGUAGCGGUGAAAUGCGUAGAUAUCUGGAGGAACACCGGUGGCGAAGGCGGCAUCCUGGACCGGCAUUGACGCUGAGGCGCGAAAGCUAGGGGAGCAAACGGG